GGCCGCGUCGACGUGAGCCAUGCGUCAAGAAAAGCCGCUAUUGUUUAUCUUGUACCCGUACCGUAAACCGACACAGGUGGAUGAGGAGAGAAUCCUAAGGCCGACGGAAGAAGCAUUGUUAAGGAACUCGGCAAAAUGACCCCGUAACUUCGGGAGAAGGGGUGCCCACGAAGGUGGGCCGCAGAGAAUAGGCUCAAGCAACUGUUUAGCAAAAACACAGGUCUAUGCAAAACCGGAAGGUGAAGUAUAUGGGCUGACGCCUGCCCGGUGCUGGAAGGUUACGAGGAGAGGUUAGCGGAAACGCGAAGCUUUGAAUCUAAGCCCCAGUAAACGGCGGCCGUAACAAUAACGGUCCUAAGGUAGCGAAAUUCCUUGUCGGGUAAGUUCCGACCCGCACGAAAGGCGUAACGAUCUGGGAGCUGUCUCGGAGAGAGACUCGGCGUCGACGCGGCCGAGUCGUGGAGG
rnacentral:rRNA from 1 species